UACGUCAGCGGCAGACGGGUGAGUAACGCGUGGGAACGUACCUUUUGGUUCGGAACAACACAGGGAAACUUGUGCUAAUACCGGAUAAGCCCUUACGGGGAAAGAUUUAUCGCCGAAAGAUCGGCCCGCGUCUGAUUAGCUAGUUGGUGUGGUAAUGGCGCACCAAGGCGACGAUCAGUAGCUGGUCUGAGAGGAUGAUCAGCCACAUUGGGACUGAGACACGGCCCAA
rnacentral:rRNA from 1 species